UGAAUACGAGAUGCUACGGCGUCGAAGCAGUGUAUGUCAGACUUCCAAGAAAAGCUCGCAAUGUCAUAAAUAAAGAAUGCCUGUACCAUAACCGACACAGGUGGGUAGGUAGAGUAUACUAAGGGGCGCGAGAUAACUCUCUCUAAGGAACUCGGCAAAAUAACUCCGUAACUUCGGGAGAAGGAGUGCCUUCUUUAAGAAGGUUGCAAUAACAAGAUCCAAGCAACUGUUUAUCAAAAACACAGGUCUCCGCUAAGUCGUAAGACGAUGUAUGGGGGCUGACGCCUGCCCAGUGCCAGAAGGUUAAAGAAGUUGGUUAGCUUUUGCGAAGCUGAUGACUGAAGCCCUGGUGAACGGCGGCCGUAACUAUAACGGUCCUAAGGUAGCGAAAUUCCUUGUCGGGUAAGUUCCGACCCGCACGAAAGGCGUAAUGAUUUGGAUACUGUCUCGGAGAGGGACUCGGUGAAAUAGACUUGUCUGUGAAGAUGCGGACUACCUGCACCGGGACAGAAAGACCCUAUGAAGCUUUACUGUAACUUGAAAUUGAAAUUGGACUUUAUUUGCGCAGUAUAGGUGGAAGGCGUUGAAAGUAAUCUUGCGGGAUUAGUGGAGCCAUCAGUGAGAUACCACUCCUAUAAUGUUAGAUUUCUAACUUUGGAUCAUGAUCUGGUCAAAGAACAGUUUCAGGCGGGCAGUUUGACUGGGGCGGUCGCCUCCCAAAUGGUAACGGAGGCGUACAAAGGUUUCCUCUGAACGGGUAGAAAUCGUAUCUAGAGUGUAAAGGCAUAAGGAAGCUUGACUGUGAGACCUACAAGUCGAGCAGGGACGAAAGUCGGUCUUAGUGAUCUGACGGUGCUGAGUGGAAAGGCCGUCACUCAACGGAUAAAAGUUACUCUAGGAUAACAGGCUGAUCUCCCCCAAGAGUUCACAUCGACGGGGAGGUUUGGCACCUCGAUGUCGGCUCAUCGCAUCCUGGGGCGGUAGUACGUCCCAAGGGUUGGGCUGUUCGCCCAUGAAAGCGGUACGCGAGCUGGGCUCAGAACGUCGUGAGACAGUUCGGUCCAUAUCCGGUGUAGGCGUUAGAAUACUGAGAGGAGCCUUCUUUAGUACGAGAGGACCGAGAAGGACAUACCUCUGGUGUACCAGUUAUCGUGCCAACGGUAAACGCUGGGUAGCUAUGUAUGGAGAGGAUAACCGCUGAAAGCAUCUAAGUGGGAAGCCCACCUCAAGAUGAGUA
rnacentral:rRNA from 1 species